rnacentral:rRNA from 1 species
UACAGAGGGGGCGAAGCGUUAUUCGGAAUUAUUGGGCGUAAAGGGCGCGUAGGCGGCUUUGCAAGUGGCGGGUGAAAUCCCUCGGCUUAACCGAGGAACUGCCUGCCAGACUGUGAGGCUUGAGACCGGGAGAGGUGAGUGGAAUUCCCAGUGUAGCGGUGAAAUGCGUAGAUAUUGGGAGGAACACCAGUGGCGAAGGCGGCUCACUGGACCGGAACUGACGCUGAGGCGCGAAAGCGUGGGGAGCAAACAGG